UCCUCUUCCCCUUGUGCUCUGUGCUCGUCUAUCCAUAGGGAAAAAAACCCAGCAAACCACAGAAAGUGCAAAUUUAUUGCCUGGGACGUCUUUUGACCCGUGUGCACAGAUGAUGAACAAUUUCUCCUGUCUGGGUUGGCUUCUUUGCCUCUUGGUGCAGAAGUUGUCCUGAAAGCAUGCCAGGAAGCUAAGUCAUAGAGAAGUGCUCUGGAACUGGAGUGAGAACGACAUGCUUGAUGAAACAUGUCAAGCUACAUUAUAUUGUCGGUGAAACAGGACAGGAAUUCUGUCUCAGACAUGGGAAAUGUCCUUUCCAAGCACAUAAGGAAGUCUGUUUUGCAGCAGCAGUGGAUCUGAAAAGUGCCCAUCUCUGAGGUGGACAGAUGCCAGUGGGGGCAUCACGUAUUGUGUGACAUAUUUCAGCUCGAGGCUCAGAAAUGUCACAGGAUCCACAGAAUUCUUGAAGAACAGAG
rnacentral:lncRNA from 1 species